ACGGCGUUAGUUAAGGGGUAUAACAGUUGCCUUCCACGUUUGAAACAGCAACAAUGGGGGGUUCGAGUCCCUCACGCCGUA